rnacentral:rRNA from 1 species
GACGCUGGCGGCGUGCUUAACACAUGCAAGUCGAGCGAGAUUUGACAGCGUAUCGUCAAGUCUAGCGGCAGACGGGUGAGUAAUAUUUGGGCAAUCUGCCCUUGAGUGGAGGACAACCGGCCGAAAGGCUGGCUAAUACUCCAUAAGACCACAGGGAUGCAUAUCCAAGGGGUCAAAGCUCCGCAAGGGGCGCUUGAGGAGGAGCCCGAAUCCUAUCAUGGUAGUUGGCGGGGUAAUGGCCCACCAAGCCGUUGACGGGUAGCCGGCCUGAAAGGGCAACCGGCCACACUGGCACUGAGACACGGGCCAGACUCCUACGGGAGGCAGCAGUGGGGAAUUUUGGACAAUGGGGGCAACCCUGAUCCAGCGACGCCGCGUGGAGGAUGAAGGUCUUCGGAUUGUAAACUCCUUUUGAUGGGGAUGAAUGGCCUGGUGAAUAGCCAGGAGUGACAGUACUCGUCGAAUAAGCCACGGCUAACUACGUGCCAGCAGCCGCGGUAAUACGUAGGUGGCAAGCGUUACUCGGAAUCACUAGGCGUAAAGCGCAGGUAGGAGGUUUGGUAAGUCUGUUGUGAAAGCUCCCGGCUCAACUGGGAGAGGUCAACGGAAACUGCCAGGCUGGAGUGCGGUAGAGGUAGCUGGAAUUCCCGGUGUAGCGGUGAAAUGCGUA